rnacentral:misc_RNA from 1 species
CUGAGUUGUCUCCUCUGGAGACCCUCUCACACUUGCAUUGUCUCAAUGUUGCUUCGGCAGAGCGCAAGCAAUUGCCGCUGGCUCUCGAGCAAGCGCGUCUCUGCCGAAGACCCCCAACUCUUCUACUCUGAAGUCAAUGAAACAAUCAAUGAAACA